GCCAAUGUGGUGGAAUGGUUAAAGCACUGGACUAUGACUCCGGAACUGGGGUUUGAAUCCACAUUCGGCCA